AUAGUGAUAAGUAAUAUAUAAAAGUCUGUCAUGCUGAAACGUAAACAAAUUAAAAUAUUUACACUGUAAGCAUUCGAUAAUUAUCAUGAACAUUAAUCACAGUCUACGUGAGUUAUUUUUCUGUGAUUACACUUGACAAUGAAAUAUAAAUAAAAGUCCAACGGGUGAAUUUAAAAAUGAAAUUGCAUGUAAAUAAAUGUUUAGUUACCAUUACCAACAGGGGUAAUAAUUACGUGCAUAAUUCAUUCGCGUUUACUCGGUCUUAUCGUUUGGCAACCUUGUGAUAAAAGUUAAUUUAAAAACGUAAAACGCGACUUGCUGGCAGUUCGAGGCAAACAUUACGCUGUAAAUUAUUGAAUUUAACUCUAAUUGCAAAUACAACAAUAUAAUUGUUAGUAAACAUGUUUAAGUUUAUUUUAAAAGAAAUUUUGGUUAGUUCGCUGUUGUUAUCUAUCAUUGCAGCUAUAGUUUUGAACGAAUCAAGCCCAGAUGACAAAGGCCCAGUUCCGUACCCGGUAGACUUUAAAAAUGGUGGAGAUUAAAGAAUGUUCAUAAAAUAUAAAACAAAGAAUUGAAUAAAAAAUUAUCAACUAAAAAUUAAAA